GUGGCACAAGUGGGCGUGUCGACGGCGACUCGGACAAGACCAUGUCCACACAUGAGCAGUCACGGAUUGGUGUCCUACGGGCUCCAUGCCUCUCGCAAUCAACCACCGAAGAGGCCAUCCUUCUUAGUCCUGUGCUCAUUCUCGUAUCUUUAGGCCAUCCUUUUUAGUCCCGUGCAUUGCGUGUGCCAUAUACCCGACUCUGCAGGAAGUCAAUGUACCCCAUGUGCCAGUUCACCUCACCACCUCGAGCGGGAAGCACAACCACAAUGUGGUCGUCGCGCGCACCUUAACGACACAACCCUUGGGCCCCGUGGUAGCUGGGCUCCUGAAGUAUCGCAAGCUCUUGCGAAUGCUGCAGGCUUCGAGGACUUCGGCCUUCGGCCUGGACCUUGAURGGUCAUUAAGCCACCCUCGUCGAGACAACGGUCGAUCCACCGAUGGGCCCCCUCCGCUCCCUGCGGGCGGUCGGGCGCCUUGACAACACCGGCAUUG
rnacentral:misc_RNA from 1 species